rnacentral:lncRNA from 1 species
UUUUUCAGUCACUGUUAUCAAACCUUUCACUUCUGUGACUUUGGUCAUUUCACUUCGUUCUGUUCAUCUCCACGAUGUAUUCAUAUUCUACCUUCAUUCACUUCCUGCGAUAUACCUAUUCUUUGAGCCAAAUACACGAUCUCUUUGAGCUCCAUCUUGUACCUCUUUGUGAAUCAAGAGACGUAUGUGCUAUAAAACUAAACACUUAAUUCCUUU